rnacentral:lncRNA from 1 species
GAAAGAACUGACUCUCAGGGAGGUUCCAUUGGAUACAACAAAUUUGUCAAACUACAAAAGUGAAGAUUUUAAAUUGGAUUACAAAAACAAUAUCCUGAAGGAGAAAGCUGAACAAAAUAGGAUUCUCCCUGCUAAGAAUAUUGACUUAGAUAAAGAAUUCGGGAAAGAAAAUUAUAAAUGAAAACAGCAACUCAAAGCUACUGGCUGGACCAGAAGCUCCCUUAAGAAUUUAAAAGUACAAGAGAACUUUGUUUUCUUUUUUAAAAAACGUCAUCCUUCCAGUUACCAAGAAGUUUCUGUAGACUUUUUUUCCAACUUUGGGCCUAUGAAAGCAUACAAGACACGUAAGCUGUAAAUCCUAUGCACGCUCAUUUCAUAAGGUUUACUACCAGGUAAACAAGUAUAGGGCUGCCCUGUAAAACUUCCUC